rnacentral:lncRNA from 1 species
CCCAGACUUCCUUUGUUUACAGAACAAGUGCUUUGGAAAUGGCUCCAGUGCACUGCUUGCUGAUGGAAGUAACAGGUCAUUUUUCACCCUUCUCUCUUGACUGGUCUUACUCUGGCUUUGCAUUCAAGAUGUGAACCUAUUGCAUUCAGUACUGCCUUAAUACUGAAGAAUCGAUUCAGGAGAAGGAUGGGGAAAAUAAACUCAGGGGUGAUGCUUUUGGCCUGACCUGGCUUGUCUCAUUUCAGAGUGGUUUGGAUUUCUUCAUUUAUCAUUGAAGUAACUUUAUGAAAAAUGAAAGCGAAGAACAGAGAGCUAUCACUACUUUGUGACUUCUGCAUCCCUUUUGUAUUAGGUCAUCUGAAAGGAGUAAUUUCUAGUCUGACUCGCAAGACACGGUGUCAAAAAGGAGACUGACACAAGGAUCCACUGCAAAGAAAAUAAAUGGCUCUGCCAGUGUCGCCUUCCUUCUUCA